AAUCCCUAUUUGGAGCCUUGAGGAAGUCAUAGAGUUUUUGUGCCUCUUUGUAGCUUGUAGAUUGAAGCAUCUAGUGUUUUUGUCUCCUUGUUCGACCGAUACAUCUCUGCUCCUUUACUUCCAGUAGAAUUAUUCUUUUGAGAGAAGCUCUUGAGGUUCAGCUUCAUGCUCUGCUUCUUUAUUUAGAUUUUCUGGGUGGGGUUUCAGCUGCUGAAAUCUG
rnacentral:lncRNA from 1 species